AGAGUUUGAUCCUGGCUCAGGACGAACGCUGGCGGCGUGCCUAAUACAUGCAAGUCGAGCGGGAGGCUCUCCUUCGGGAGAGACUCUAGCGGCGAACGGGUGAGUAACACGUGGGCAACCUACCCCGAGGACUGGGAUAACUCCGGGAAACCGGAGCUAAUACCGGAUAAUUCUCCAGCUCGCAUGAGUUGGAGCUGAAAGAUGGCGCAAGCUGUCACCUCGGGAUGGGCCCGCGGCGCAUUAGCUAGUUGGUGGGGUAAUGGCUCACCAAGGCGACGAUGCGUAGCCGACCUGAGAGGGUGAUCGGCCACACUGGGACUGAGACACGGCCCAGACUCCUACGGGAGGCAGCAGUAGGGAAUUUUCGGCAAUGGGCGCAAGCCUGACCGAGCAACGCCGCGUGAGUGAUGACGGCCUUCGGGUUGUAAAACUCUGUUCUUCGGGAAGAACGCAGGAGAGGUGAAUAGCCUUUUCUGGUGACGGUACCGAAGGAGAAAGCCCCGGCUAACUACGUGCCAGCAGCCGCGGUAAU
rnacentral:rRNA from 1 species